UGCAUAGACGUCCCUUUUCCCCAUUGUUUUCCAGCGCAGCGCAGGACGUAGUCUCGCCUGGUCUUGCUACUUAAUUGUGAUUUUUAACUAUCUUGCUGCUCACUUUUCUUUGCCACUAUUGUCCAUCGUUGUUGUGUUGUGGGGUGCAAUAGCGCAAGCCACCAUAGGAAAGGGGGAAUUGGAUUAUCUUUCUACUCAUUUCCUUCUUGGAGGCAGCACCAUGGUGACCAAGUCUCGGAUAUAACAAAGUGUCGUUGGCUAGCAUGGGUCGCUGCUGUAAGACGACCAAAAAUAACUUUCCACUCAAUCCUGACGAGUGUGCUCUCUGCAUUUUCAUUUUGGUACACCAGCAAAUGAAAUGAACACCUCCCAUCCGGAUUGGGCACCAUCACUGCACUUGGGGGACACCAAGACAGUCACCACCACCACCGAGACUUCUCGCUAUGAGACAGGAACAAAGAAAACGACGAAGGACUGAGAGCAUGGCGUCGAUGGAUGAGACACCCCUUGUUACACCAGUGGAGACAACUGGGGGAGCAUCAGCAUCAGCACCUGCAGGCCUAGAGGAUGAAGCUGACCAGGGGCCGGUGUGUGCUGAGGUAAAGAUCCCCGCCUUCACAAGAGGACACUGUCAAUUGGAAGCAAGAGAUGUGGAAAAAACAAGGACAAUUGCUCAUCUCCGAAUUCACGUGGAAAGGGUGAUUGGAACUGUCUGAAACAAAUACACAAUUUUGUCUGCAGAAGUGCCUAUCAACAUGGUGUUGCCAUUUGAAGGUGAAGAAAAAACAUUCCUUGACAAGAUUGUGUCUGUAUGUUGUACUCUGACCAUCAUGAGCAGGAGUGUUGUGCAAAGCUGAAGUUGACUGAAAUAAAUGUGCUUUGAGACUCAAGUGUGUAUAAUUUUAUUCACAAGUAAAGUAAUAAGACAAAAGUCAUUUCAAGUAUGUCGUUUUGAAUCACUGUAAAUACUGAAAGUGCAACUAGUGAUAACCUGAGAUCUUUAAGUACAGUAAGGCAAAAUGUUGUAAUUGUAUUGAAAUAUCUUAACAAUAGUAUUGACAUAAAUUCACAGUGCAACUUGAGAACCUGAGAGCACAAAACGGUGCAUUUGAAAAAGUACAAGGCAAAAUAUUAAUGUAAUGGUGGGGAGGGGGGGA